rnacentral:rRNA from 1 species
UUGAAGUGGGGAUAGUCCAUGGAAACAUGGAGUAAUACCGCAUAUGUCUUCGGAUGAAAGUUCCAAUGGAACGCUUUGGGAUGAGUCUGCGGCUCAUUAGCUUGUUGGUGGGGUAAAGGCCUACCAAGGCAACGAUGAGUAGCCGGCCUGAGAGGGUGAACGGCCACACUGGGACUGAGACACGGCCCAGACUCCUACGGGAGGCAGCAGCUAAGAAUCUUCCGCAAUGGACGCAAGUCUGACGGAGCGACGCCGCGUGAACGAUGAAGGCGGAAACGUUGUAAAGUUCUUUUCCUGAUGAAGAAUAAUGAGAGGAGUGGAAAGCCUUUCAGAUGACAUUAUUCAGGGAAUAAGCCCCGGCUAAUUACGUGCCAGCAGCCGCGGUAAUACGUAUGGGGCAAGCGUUGUUCGGAUUUAUUGGGCGUAAAGGGCGCGCAGGCGGUUUAACAAGCUUGAUGUGAAAUAUCCCGGCUUAACUGGGGACACGCGUUGGGAACUGUUAGACUAGAGUUUAGAAGGGGAAACUGGAAUUCCUAGUGUAGGGGUGAAAUCUGUAGAGAUUAGGAAGAACACCAAUGGCGAAGGCAAGUUUCUGGUCAUAGACUGACGCUGAGGCGCGAAAGCGUGGGGAGCGAACAGGAUUAGAUACCCUGGUAGUCCACGCUGUAAACGAUGUGCACUAGGUGUAGGAUAUUGAAUAUAUUCUGUGCCGUAGCUAACGCGUUAAGUGCACCGCCUGGGGAGUAUGCUCGCAAGGGUGAAACUCAAAGGAAUUGACGGGGGCCCGCACAAGCGGUGGAGCAUGUGGUUUAAUUCGAUAUACGCGAGAAACCUUACCAGGGCUCGACAUUUACAUGACGGUUUAAGAGAUUAGGCCUUCCUUUCGGGGACAUGUAAACAGGUGCUGCAUGGUUGUCGUCAGCUCGUGUCGUGAGAUGUUGGGUUAAGUCCCGCAACGAGCGCAACCCUUAUUGUCUGUUGCCAGCAUUUCGGAUGGGGACUCAGACAAAACUGCCGGUGACAAACCGGAGGAAGGUGGGGAUGACGUCAAAUCAUCAUGGCCCUUAUGUCCUGGGCUACACACGUGCUACAAUGGCAAGUACAAAGCGUUGCGAAAAGGUGACUUCAAGCUAAUCGCAAAAAACUUGCCUCAGUUCGGAUUGGAGUCUGAAACUCGACUCCAUGAAGUUGGAAUCGCUAGUAAUCGCGCAUCAGCAUGGCGCGGUGAAUAUGUUCCCGGGCCUUGUACAC